rnacentral:rRNA from 1 species
CCGUAAAGUCCGUAGACCGCAAGGAGCGGCCUAGGUGAAAACUGGUAACUAGGGCU